rnacentral:lncRNA from 8 species
AGCAUCUGAACAUACUUCAGUUUAUCGGGCCGAGCACGCACGAGCCAGCAGGUGCCAUGGAGUCGCAUCUCUCUGCCACCGCAUAUCUCGUCCUAGCAUUGGUCUCCACAACAUCUGGGUUCUUCUGGACUCCCCGAGGUCCUCAGAUGUACCCAUGCCUCACCUACAUGGAGCGCAACCUGCGGGUAGACUGUGAGUUCCCUGUGGAAGACAACCCUGCACACCUAGGCCCCUACUGCGAGUACAAGCAGGACAGCCGACUGGUGGGCAGCACCUACCCCAACGCUGUGUCCCUGGUGUCCACAGACAACCGAAGGAGGGCCAACGUGAGCCUGGUCAACCCCACCGUGUGUCGUCUUACCUGGGCUCCGAUGGCGGACGAUAAGCCCUACACCUACACCUGCAGGGUGUACCAGGGGUCUACCUGGAAGGAGAACAGCAUGGCUGUACACCAGCGAAUUCUUCCAAUCUGUUCAGCCCUCAGCGUGAUGUUCCAUACUGGGCUAUUUCUUCUGUCCCUUGUGAUGUCACUUCCUGUAACUAUGGGUCUCCUCUCUCCCUGAUCUCCUUUCAAUGUACAGAUAGCUAGAUGUUGUUACAUGUUUUUAAACAGAUUUUCAUAUCAUUAUUAUAGUACACAAUAAUAACUACAAUUUAUUGAGAUCAUAGUCAAUGUGUAAUGAAACAGUGGUACGUUGGAGGCUGUGGCUCCAUAUUCACUGUUUUCUGACCACUUCAAUGAUCACUUUAAAAACUGAUCCAUCAGACUAGAUCUUAUUCUGUAUUAUCUAUUCUCUAUACUUUAGGCUUUGCUUUUGGAGUAUCAGGUGAGAAUCCUGUCAAAACAAUUUCUUUAUAUCAGUCAAACUUUCAGAACGUCCAGACUUUCAGGCUCUCAUCAGCCCUUUGGCUCAGGGAUGCUAGUACUGGAAUGGGUGGUCAUGUCCUAAAGAGAUUCACAAUGGCUAUGUUUACACAGGCAGACCAAUUUUGAUAUUUUUCCACUAAUCGUUUUUUUAAACAAUCAGAUUAGUUAAAAGCAGCCUUUGUGUAAAAGCAGCCUUUUUUUGGGGGGGGGGUAUAUUUUACAAUAGUUAUCUUGUUAUUUUUAGAACCACCCUUCAGCUUCAUUCAACCCCUCCCAUCUAUCUCUGAAAACCCUCAGGUUUUUUGCAGAGUUAGCUCCAGGUAAACGUUGCAAUUCUUCAGUACCAAAACAAAUGAUCUAAUGAUUCUGUUUCUUCACAGCAAAAUCUGCAGAGCUGGGAUGGUUGUAUAAUCAUUUAAAUUAUUUAACUAAGUUUUGAAUCCAGCAUCAUUUUAUGUAUCAGUUCAUGAACCAUGAAUUCAUUAGGCCUAUGGAUUUUACAUGUCUGGGCAGGUGCACAGCCAUGGGUGGGUGGGAGCCUUUUAUUGUCCCCAGCACAAUGUGCACCUGUGUAAUGAUCAUGCUGUUUAAUCAGCUUCUUGAUAUGCCACACCUGUCAAGUGGAUGGAUUAUCUUGGCAAAGGAGAAAUGCUCACUAAUAGGAAUGUAAACACAUUUGUGCACAACAUUUGAGAGAAAUAAGCUUUUUGUGCAUAUGGAACAUAUUAGAUCUUUUAUUUCAGAUAAUGAAACAUGGGACAAACAUUUUACAUGUUGCUUUUAUAUAUUUGUUCAGUGUAUAUAGCACAGCUGUAUUGUCACAGUUGACUUGGACUGGUGUAAGGCGGAAUCAGAUGCAGGAGACAGGUGCUGGAGAUGAGUGUCCUUUUAAUAAUUUGACACACAAAACAAAACCGCACAAGGCACAGGGCGCUACAGACAGACUGCCUGGGAAAAACACAUUCCCAAUGAACAAAAUAUAUAUAUAAGUGGCACAAAAAGGCACGGGGCGCAGCCCGGUAAAUCCUCUCUUCGUGAAACUGUCAGAAACAAACCCAUAAUAAAACACGGACCACCGUCCUGAGUAGACAAUGAACAAUCCGACACAAAACCCCAACUGAAAACACACACUAAUAAGGCCCCACUAAUGACAGACACAAAACAGGUGCGGAACAGACAGACGAAACCAAAAGACACAGAACCAACGAUCGGUGGCAGCUAAUAGGCCGGCGACGACGACCGCCGAGCACCGCCCGACCGAGGAGGGGCGCCACUUUCGUUGGAUCCUGUGACAUGUAUAUUUUUUGCUCCGUAAAUGAAACUGGCAUACUUUUUUUAUUCAUCACAAUUUUCAUUAACCAAUUUUGGUCUUUAAUGAAGGGGCGACAGACAAGUUUGCAAACGCAGCCUUUGUGAAUCUCUUUAGGACAUGAUCACCCAUUCCCAUAGUAGCAUCCCUGUAGCAUUGAGGAGAUAGUGGGGGGUGAAAAGUAAGGCCAACACUACCGUAUCAGAGUGUGUAUUUGGCUCACAGCCCCUGAUUCUGGGGCACUUAAAGCUGCAAUAUUGUAUGUAACUUUUUGGUUGACCCAACCAAAUUCACAUUGAAAUGUGAUAUGUCAUUCUCAUUAAAAGUCUUAAGAAACUGUGGAUCUGUUCUAUGUGCGCUAUGUCUAUGCUUUCCGUGCUUAAGUUUCUUUUUGUAUCUUUUAUGUUUGGUUUUGUACACCAGCUAUAAAGAGCUGGUUAUACGUUGUUUUUGUACUUGAAAAAAAUUAGGGCAACUAUUAUAAUUUUAGUAACUAGGAAAUGGCAGAGUGAUUUCUGCCUAUUGCAUCAUUAAGGAUUUCCUCUGAAUUACCAUUAAGAUAAUGGAUGAAAUGGAAAUGAUUGGCUAUGGAAUGACUAAGAUAUUUACAUGUCAGGUGGUAUAUGUUGUAACUAUUCAAUAAUUGGUUAAUGAUCAACUCUUGCCUUUUAUUUCAAUCUCAAAGUAUUUAGAAACCUUUCAUGGAUGCAAAGAAAUCUGACGCUCUCUUUAGUUUGAAAGUUUUGUUUACAUUUUGUCAUUCCCAUAUGUUCUUGUAGAUUUCAUACAGUAGAAGCUUGAGCUUAGCUAAAUUGUAUAUCAAAGGAAACAUUACACUUAGUGAUAUCCCCUGUAUUGCAUAAUUACCGAUUGCUGAUUAGCCAUUGAAAGUUCAAGACAUGUCAGGACUGUGUUAAAUGUUUUGAUACUCAGCUUCACAUGGCACAUUAUUCGUUAUUGUAAUAAUGUAUUAAAUCUAUAGGCAACAAUUAUAUUCAACAUUUUGUAAUGUUAUUUUUAAGAAAAUUAUUAAGUGGAAUUGCUUACAGAUGUAUCUUGCCAAAAAUGAUUGAUCAAAUUGUACUUUCACUGCACCAUAGCAUUAUUUUGGAAAUAAUUAUAUAGGUUAUUACAAGUAAAAGUCUUUCAUAUGCUUUGCAGAUGUAAAAAUUCUUGUAGCAAUUUUUUUUAGGACUCAUCAUGGAGGUCAUUCUAGAUCUUUGUCCUCAAAAACCUCCAAUCACUGUGAAUGAGUUCAGAGUCUAGAAGACCACGCUGAAAUCGAGGCUGUUUUAGGACAAGCCCAAAUGAUAGAAAAGUUAUUUAGAUAAUAAGAUCAGGUGGUGAAUGAAUGAGAUAGUUAUGGUAGUAAAUCAAAUGAACUAACUAAAUGUUUCUGGACAAAAAAACUGACUAACUGAAAUUAGCACUUGGAAAUGGACCAGGGUCUCUGAUACACAUGACCAUCACGUGUCCUGAUAGUCGUUAGUACGUUGAUAGUUUGUUGAUGUUAGUUUAUGGUAUGUGCAGAAUGAAAGAACAUGUAGAUGUGAUAAAUAUGUCUAGUUGAUGAUGUCAUUAGCUGCUUUCAUUCUCUUCCUUUCU